UUUGUAUAUAAAUAACGUGAUUACGCGUUAAUUUCAUUUAUUUGUGCUCUUAUGAUCUUAUCUAAGAUUCAAAAUCUCCUGUCUCGAUUUAAAGUGGGCCAAACCCAAAAACCCCACAAAAGGCCCACCGCGGUGGACAAGUACAACAACCACGCAUCCCGCGUUAGAAAUCCUAAUUGGGCGGUGUCGCCAUACAAUCGAUUUUCGAACUUUGAAGCAAAAUCCGAGAAAAUGGAGGAUGAGGAUCGGACGAAUGUACUGGUAAAUCGAAAUCUGAUUGAAAGUUGAUUGUGGAGGAAUUGGAGGAAAAUUUGGAUCUUGCUUGAAGAUGUUCGAGCUUCGGAGGCAUUUAUUAUAUCGGUGGGCGGUUGAGAAGGAAACAAGGAAACGAUAAACAAUCAAAUGAAGAAGUCAAAGACACCCACUUGGCUUUUUCCACUUCAAAGUUUUAAUGGUGGCAAAAUUGAAGAACCGGAAAUUGGAAUUACUGUUUUCACUGGCAGUGAAGAAAAAGGUCGAAUCCGAGAAGGCAAGAGAUCUAGAUAAACCUGCAUGAAGUCACCAGGUUCUUUCAUCUUUAUGCCCUCGUGUGAGCUUUCGUAAGUACUGAACCGGCACGGCUACAGAGGAUUUAUUCCCGAUAAUUUUAAGAACAAAGAAUUCAAUGGAAUGGAACUAAAAUCCUACUCCAUCACUAUCAUAUUUUCAUGUACCAAAAGCACGCUUAAAGAUUAUUUAUUUACAUAAAUUGAUGAUCUUGAAAUAA